ensembl:scaRNA
AUGGAGGAUUAAGAAAGUAGAUCUUUUCAAGUUUCAUGGAUCCUACUGAUACUGUCCUCCUACAUAAAAUGGUAGAGGAACAGGACUGUUUGCAAGUUUGUACACAGGACCUACUUAAUCUACCAACACGU